AGUGAACGCUGGCGGUAGGCCUAACACAUGCAAGUCGAACGGCAGCACAGUAAGAGCUUGCUCUUACGGGUGGCGAGUGGCGGACGGGUGAGGAAUACAUCGGAAUCUACUUUUUCGUGGGGGAUAACGUAGGGAAACUUACGCUAAUACCGCAUACGACCUACGGGUGAAAGCAGGGGAUCUUCGGACCUUGCGCGAUUGAAUGAGCCGAUGUCGGAUUAGCUAGUUGGCGGGGUAAAGGCCCACCAAGGCGACGAUCCGUAGCUGGUCUGAGAGGAUGAUCAGCCACACUGGAACUGAGACACGGUCCAGACUCCUACGGGAGGCAGCAGUGGGGGAUAUUGGACAAUGGGCGCAAGCCUGAUCCAGCCAUACCGCGUGGGUGAAGAAGGCCUUCGGGUUGUAAAGCCCUUUUGUUGGGAAAGAAAAGCAGCAGGUUGAUACCCCGCUGUUCUGACGGUACCCAAAGAAUAAGCACCGGCUAACUUCGUG
rnacentral:rRNA from 1 species